AUUGAACGCUGGCGGCAUGCCUUACACACGCAAGUCGAACGGCAGCACGGGAGCAAUCCUGGUGGCGAGUGGCGAACGGGUGAGUAAAGUAUCGGAACGUGCCCAGUCGUGGGGGAUAACGUAGCGAAAGUUACGCUAAUUCCGCAUACGAUCUAUGGAUGAAAGCGGGGGAUCGCAAGACAGCGCGCGAUUGGAGAGGCUGAUAUCAGAUUAGGUAGUUGGUGAGGUAACGGCUCAGCAAGCCGACGAUCUGUAGCUGGUCGGAGAGGACGACCAGACACACUGGGACUGAGACACGGCCCAGACUCCUACGGGAGGCAGCAGUGGGGAAUUUUGGACAAUGGGCGCAAGCCUGAUCCAGCCAUGCCGCGUGCAGGAUGAAGGCCUUCGGGUUGUAAACUGCUUUUGUACGGAACGAAAAGGUUUGACUUAAUACGUUGGACUCAUGACGGUACCGUAAGAAUAAGCACCGGCUAACUACGUGCCAGCAGCCGCCGUAA
rnacentral:rRNA from 1 species